rnacentral:lncRNA from 1 species
AAAAAAACAAAAACCUGUCUGAGCUGGGCAUAGUGGUACUCAUGUGUAAUCCCAGUCACUCAGGAGGCUAAGGCAAGAGGAUUGCAAGUUUAAAGCCAGCCUUAGCAAGUUAGCAAGACCCUAAACAAUUUAGUGAGACCGUCUCAAAAUAAUAAAAAGGGCUGGGGAUGUGGCUCAGUGGUUAAACAUCCCUAGGUUCAGUCAGUACCUUCCCACCCCUGCCAAAAAGUAAUAAUGAUAACAAUGGACAAUUAACAUUCACACAACCUUUUACAAAGUGUUUUCACAUAUAUUAGCUCUUUUGAACCUCACAGAUAGUUUAUUAUUCCUGUUAUACAGCUGAGGAAACUAAGGCUCAGAAAGGUUGUUUGCCUAAAGUCACCCAUAGCUGGGCCUGA